rnacentral:lncRNA from 1 species
AAAGUAAUGCUUCAUCCUCCAAAAAGGUCUGCAGAUUUUUUGUCUUCAUGAGAUACAUGAUCGCCUCCUCAUUGAAUUCCACGAGAAAACCCAACUUUAUAAGGUCUGCCAGCUGACGCGUGUGAUCUUCAUUCUCCCAUAUUAAGCCUCCAGCAACUACUUCAGAAAAAUGUGAAGCAUACUCGAUUGUUGUUUUUGGUCCCCCAUCCUUGUCUAAUUUCUGCACAAAAAGCUUUGAAAUCUGUUUCUCCCAUCUGAGCAUUUGCCUGGCUUCAACAUUGAGGGUUUCACCAGAGGAGAGUGAUAACGUGUGGCGCAUUGUUAUUUUGCCCCCUGCCUCUAGGACGGUAACAUCAAGAAGGGGUCUGACAAUGUCAUGCCUAACAUCUACUUCCAUUUUGGGCGAAACAUCAGCUAGAAAGCCAAGAAUAAGCCUCAACAAUCCUUUUCCAAUAAAUACUUCCUUCAGUUUCAGCUGCUUCAGAUUGACAGCAUCAACCUCAGAGAGCUCUUGCUGUACAGAUUCCGAGAUAUUUCUAACACCUAUUUUGCUGUAAAUUUCUAGCAACUUAGUUCUGGGAAGAGAUUUCAUGCUCGGUUGGGGAUACCAAACAAAUAGUGAACCCAAAGAAGACCUUUCGAAAAGAUCCUUCAGCUGCAGAUCAUCAGCAAUGAAUACGUCGUGUUUAUUAACCAGAUUAAUUGGACUUGAUCCUGAAUAUACAGGCAAUUUCAACAACCGUUGAGCUAAAAUUUCUCCAUUCCUCGAGCUCCAGUUCUUUAUGACAAACUCCCAGAAGGCACAAGCCUCCUCAUGAGUUAGUUGGUGGCCAGAAGCUUCCCAUGACUUCCAAAUCUCACAAUAGUCGUCAAUAGAGGGGUUCAAUUUUACUCCGUAGGUAAGAGAGAAAAACAUCAGCAACUUAUUAUCUUUAUAGUGCUUCUCCAGAACAUGCAACCGCGCUCCCAAUAAACCAUUUUUGUCAUGGAUGACACAGUCUUCAGAGCUUACCCACUGACCAUUAUCAGUACCACUGGGGACCCAAAUUCUUUUGUUGUCCUCGUCAUCGGGCUUCCAGUUGAAUUCAAACAAAUAGUUAUAUAUUCGGCUCACAGUGGUGAAACUAGAAUGGAAGUCAAGGUAAUCUGCCAUCAAAGAACAGCCAUUUCUGACAUCAACAAUUACUCCCAGAGAACGAAGCUCAUUUUUGUAUUCUGUAAUUCUGGAACCAUAAAAGUCUUCAUCAAGGAAAGGCCCGUCACUCCUUUCUAAUAAACGAGCCCAAUCAGGACUGAAGAGCAAGCACCUCUUUGGAGUGUUGAAGCCUGAAUAUGUUUUUAGCCAUUUUCUCCCUAUUUUUUCAACAAAAGUUGAUGGAAAAAGUUCCUGAUUCUCCAGCUUGUGGUUCUCCGGUUUAUAAUUACGGAUACAGUCCAGCAACGAGUACACAUUUUCAGGAGUUAUGCUGCUAGAAUCCUGUGGCAAAUAAAGGCCAUUCACAACAAAAUGUGCUCCAUCUUUAAAAGAAGAAACAACACCCAUACUCUUGAGCUCCUUUUCAUAUUCAUGGAUGGUUGCCCCAUAAUGAGUAUCACUAUCAUCAAUGAAUGGGAGCAGGGAGAUUGAUGAGAUAGAUUUCCAACAUUGGCUAUAAAGAAUGCAAUCAGCAGGCACCCUAUAAUCACCAAGUCGAGUACGCAACCACUUGACCUCACGAAUACACUUCUUUAAAUUUGAUGGAAAGGUGGAGCUUUUUGGUUUUUUGUAGUAUUGCAGAAGUGCAAGAACAUUGUCCUUGCCAAUGGAGUGCAACGACGCUUGCUUCCUGAAAACAUCUUCAAAUUUUUUCGAUGCCUCAUCUAAAUCAACCACUAGCCCAAUUUGCUUUAGUUCACUUUUAAAGGACAAUAUUUUGCUUCCAUAGAAAUUUUCAUCUAUGAGCGGGAAGCAACUAAAAACCUGUAAAAGACAUCCCCACUCGGAGUCAGGCAAAUAGCAUUCAGCAGGAGAUUUGAACCCACCAUUCGUUUUGAUGCAUUUCUUAUCCUUCAGAGCAUGAACCAAAUUGCUGGUUGACCUCAAAUGCCGGAGGCAAUUCAGUAUCAAAUAGAGAGCAUCAGCAGAAAGAGAACUUAAGCAAUGCGAAGAUUUCAAGUUGUCACUAACAAGUUGGUAGUUGCCAUCAAAGUUCACUCUCACACCAAUCAGCCCCAGUUCUACUUUAUAAGACAUCAGAUUAGCUCCAUAAUAAACUUCAUCAAUAAGUGGAAUAUUACUAACUUCCUUAGCAGCUUUCCACUCCUCGUUGUAUAAAACUGACUCAUCUGGGCUUCUAUCACCUUGAU